rnacentral:lncRNA from 1 species
UUUUUUUUUUUUUCAAAGUAAUUCUCAUCAAUUAGCACUAGUUUGAUGUGAACUAGCGGCCCCAUAUCCGCCCCGUGAAGAAUUAUAAAAGAAAAAAUGUUUAGCUGCAAGGACACAAACAACGCAUGGCCUGCAAUUUUGGGCGAGCCAGGCGACAUAGAAAACAAGACUCGUCCCUGCCAGGUCACCAAGCCUAACACUUCGUUUUUUCCAGUGUGGUCUAAGGAGCUAGAACCGAUACAAACCACCUCUCUCAACCGCCAGGCCCGAGACAUGAGCGUCACAGACCUGAUCCGGCCAAACAAGUGCCAGGCCAUCCAAAGCCGGGGAAGCCGGACAGCUCGAUCAUGAGAGUACCUUCAUGGAUGAAUCUACAAGACUACAAGAAGCAUUUACAUAAUACCCAAGCUCCAAGAACAGGCAGCCAAAAAGGUUUAAAUGAGGGAGUAAAGCCAAACUUUUAUUGGCAAAAAUAAUGCCUUGAUCAUGUUACAUGUAACAGCAGCAGAAUCUGUGUAACGUAACAAGAUACUAAUUCUCUGAAUCCCUAAUAUAUGAUUGCAGAGAAUCAAAUUGGGAACAACACCCAAAAAAAAAAAAUUUAACAUUCUCGACGAGCUAAAAGGUGUAAAAUGAAAAGAAAAAUAAUGUCAAAUACGUCUAUUUUACAAAUUGAGUAAAAUAUUUGCAGCCACUGUUGAUUGGCCACGGAUUUGUUACAAAAUGGCACCCAGCAACCAAAUAUGCAAGACAAGCCAAUAAGCAAUGAGACCUAGCCUUGCUCUCGGACGACUCAUCAAAGCUUGACUACCAGACACCCUGAAUAAAUUGGAAAUAAGCAUUAGAACCAUAAAAACAAGUCUAAAU